rnacentral:rRNA from 1 species
ACAAGCAGCGGAGCGUGUGGUUUAAUUCGUUGCUACACGAAGAACUUACCUGGUUUGACAUAUAGGUUGUAGGGAACUGAAAGGGACCGACCUUCGGGAGCCUAUACAGGUGUUGCAUGGCUGUCGUCAGCUCGUGUCGUGAGAUGUUCGGUUAAGUCCGCUAACGAGCGCAACCCUCGUCGUAUGUUAUAUGUGUCAUACGAGACUGCCGGUAAAAGCCGGAGGAAGGUGAGGAUGAUGUCAAGUCAGCAUGACCUUUAUAUCCAGGGCUACACACACGCUACAAUGGUCUGUACAAUGGGUAGCCAAGCCGCGAGGCGGAGCCAAUCCUGAAAGCAGGCCUCAGUUCAGAUUGUAGGCUGCAACCCGCCUGCAUGAAGAUGGAGUUGCUAGUAAACGCAGGUCAGCUACACUGCGUUGAAUACGUUCCCGGAGAUU